AGUCACACUGCCAAGAAAAGCUUCUAGUGAGAAAGUAACUGCCCGUACCGCAAACCGACACAGGUAGUUGAGGAGAGAAUCCUAAGGUGUGCGAGAGAACUCUCGUUAAGGAACUCGGCAAAAUGACCCCGUAACUUCGGGAGAAGGGGUGCUGACCGCAAGGUCAGCCGCAGUGAAUAGGCCCAAGCGACUGUUUAUCAAAAACACAGGUCUCUGCAAAAUCGAAAGAUGACGUAUAGGGGCUGACGCCUGCCCGGUGCUGGAAGGUUAAGAGGAGAGGUUAGCGCAAGCGAAGCUUUGAAUUGAAGCCCCAGUAAACGGCUGCCGUAACGAUAACGGUCCUAAGGUAGCGAAAUUCCUUGUCGGGUAAGUUCCGACCCGCACGAAAGGCGUAACGAUUUGGGCACUGUCUCAACGAGAGACUCGGUGAAAUUAUAGUACCAGUGAAGAUGCUGGUUACCCGCGACAGGACGGAAAGACCCCAUGGAGCUUUACUGCAGUUUGAUAUUGCGUAUUUGUAUCACAUGUACAGGAUAGGUAGGAGCCGAAGAUACCGGGACGCCAGUCUCGGAGGAGGCAACGGUGGGAUACUACCCUUGUGAUAUGACCACUCUAACCCGCUGCUCUUAGCGAGCAGGGAGACAGUGUCAGACGGGCAGUUUGACUGGGGCGGUCGCCUCCAAAAAUGUAACGGAGGCGCCCAAAGGUUCCCUCAGAAUGGUUGGAAAUCAUUCGUAGAGUGUAAAGGCAGAAGGGAGCUUGACUGCGAGACCUACAAGUCGAGCAGGGACGAAAGUCGGGCUUAGUGAUCCGGUGGUUCCGCAUGGAAGGGCCAUCGCUCAACGGAUAAAAGCUACCCUGGGGAUAACAGGCUUAUCUCCCCCAAGAGUUCACAUCGACGGGGAGGUUUGGCACCUCGAUGUCGGCUCAUCGCAUCCUGGGGCUGUAGUCGGUCCCAAGGGUUGGGCUGUUCGCCCAUUAAAGCGGUACGCGAGCUGGGUUCGGAACGUCGUGAGACAGUUCGGUCCCUAUCCGUCGCGGGCGUUGGAAAUUUGAGAGGAGCUGUCCUUAGUACGAGAGGACCGGGAUGGACACACCGCUGGUGUACCAGUUGUUCUGCCAAGAGCAUCGCUGGGUAGCUAUGUGUGGACGGGAUAAACGCUGAAAGCAUCUAAGCGUGAAGCCCCCCUCAAGAUGAGAUUUCCCAUCACUUUAAGUGAGUAAGACCCCUGAGAGAUGAUCAGGUAGAUAGGUUGGGAGUGGAAGUACAGCGAUGUAUGGAGCGGACCAAUACUAAUCGGUCGAGGACUUAAUC
rnacentral:rRNA from 1 species